rnacentral:snRNA from 1 species
AUCGCUUCUCGGCCUUUUGGCUAAGAUCAAGUGUAAUAUGCAUCACAUAAAAUUUAUCUCAUUAACCAUGUAUACGGGUACAGUUCAGUGGCAUUAAGUACCUUCCCUUUGCUGUGCGCACCACUGUCUGUUUCCAGAAUUUUGCAUCACCCUAAACAAAACUCUGGAACCAUGA